GACGAACGCUGGCGGCGUGCUUAACACAUGCAAGUCGAACGAAGAGCGACGGAAGCUUGCUUCUAUCAAUCUUAGUGGCGAACGGGUGAGUAACGCGUAAUCAACCUGCCCUUCAGAGGGGGACAACAGUUGGAAACGACUGCUAAUACCGCAUACGAUCUAAUCUCGGCAUCGAGGAUGGAUGAAAGGUGGCCUCUACAUGUAAGCUAUCACUGAAGGAGGGGAUUGCGUCUGAUUAGCUAGUUGGAGGGGUAACGGCCCACCAAGGCGAUGAUCAGUAGCCGGUCUGAGAGGAUGAACGGCCACAUUGGGACUGAGACACGGCCCAGACUCCUACGGGAGGCAGCAGUGGGGAAUCUUCCGCAAUGGACGAAAGUCUGACGGAGCACGCCGCGUGAGUGAUGACGGCCUUCGGGUUGUAAAGCUCUGUUAAUCGGGACGAAAGGCCUUCUUGCGAAUAGUGAGAAGGAUUGACGGUACCGGAAUAGAAAGCCACGGCUAACUACGUG
rnacentral:rRNA from 1 species